UUCCCUAGUUCCCUCUUUCUCUUUUGCCCUCCUUCUUCUUCUUCUUCUUCCUCUAUCUUCAUUUGUAGACCUGACCACCACCACCACCCAUGGCAACUCACCACCAUCGCAACCCAAUACCACCAUCUCAACCCAGCACCACCACCACAUGAACACCAACGAAGACCCAAAAACCCUGAAUCAGUCUCUCUGCACCCCUCUCCUUAGAUCAGUCUCUUUCUGGUGAAGAAGUCACUUUCACGGCGAGCUUUUUGGAGCCUUGGCAGGUACUACUGAGAGAGCUAUUGUUGGAAGUGAAGUAUAAGAAACCGGAGCAAGAUAGGUCCAUGGAACUCUUUCUCUUCAUUUUAUGGGCCAGGAGUGACAAAAAGAAGAAGAAUUCUUUCCCAAAAUUGGUUUCCGGGUAGAUUAUCAAUGGCCAUGUAGGCAAAAUAUCCCCAAAGAAGUGAAGUUGGUAUCAAUUUUAUUAGAGGUACGA